rnacentral:rRNA from 1 species
GUGGGGAAUAUUGGACAAUGGGCGAAAGCCUGAUCCAGCCAUGCCGCGUGUGUGAAGAAGGCCUUUUGGUUGUAAAGCACUUUAAGCGAGGAGGAGGCUACCGAGAUUAAUACUCUUGGACAGUGGACGUUACUCGCAGAAUAAGCACCGGCUAACUCUGUGCCAGCAGCCGCGGUAAUACAGAGGGUGCAAGCGUUAAUCGGAUUUACUGGGCGUAAAGCGCGCGUAGGUGGCCAAUUAAGUCAAAUGUGAAAUCCCCGAGCUUAACUUGGGAAUUGCAUUCGAUACUGGUUGGCUAGAGUAUGGGAGAGGAUGGUAGAAUUCCAGGUGUAGCGGUGAAAUGCGUAGAGAUCUGGAGGAAUACCGAUGGCGAAGGCAGCCAUCUGGCCUAAUACUGACACUGAGGUGCGAAAGCAUGGGGAGCAAACAGGAUUAGAAACCCCGGUAGUCC